GCGGUUAGAGCAGGUGUCACCCCCAACGGCCCUCGGUGCGAGCAGGCGGCGGCGGUGGCAGCGGUGGUGUGUGGGGGGAGGCGCAGACAGUUGUGGCCGAGCAAACGCACAAGCGAGCCCACCUGAUAAACACCGGUUGAGCUGUAACUCCACAGUUAUGAAGAUAGUUCUGACGGAUGAAUUGUUACCAGAUAGCGUUUUAAUAUAAAUGGAGACGUUUCCAGUGGAAGCUGAGGAAACUUCAUAUUCUUCACUUUAUCACUGAAAAGAUUUCCAAUUGUAUCUGUUAUCCUAGUAAAUGAUUCACUGUGGGACAAUAGCCUGUUGCCUGUGAUAGAACUGAACGUAGCAUAAUGGAUUCAGAUGGAAGAACUGUGCAAACUUAUUUCUUCCAGGGCCAACAGGCCUAGUUAAAACUUUGUUAAUUGUGCUGUAAUGAUAUGUCUCCUCUUGGGAAUUACUAGUCUGUGAUGGGGACAUGGUGUUCCACAGGUGACUGCAAACUACUAACAUUCAGUGUUAGUAUAAAUUUUAAAUGACUACCUAAAUCCCUGUGAACUGCAUAAUCUUAAUGUAAAAGUAAUCUUUUUAAGGUACUUAGGAUAAUGGGAGCGCUUAAGUACUAUGUUUUUUUCACUUAUUUGAUAUAGUUCUUUUACCCUCAUGAAUAAAUUAGCAUGCCUA
rnacentral:lncRNA from 1 species